rnacentral:lncRNA from 1 species
AUCCUUGGCUCAGACAAGAGAUGAAUUCGAGAGUGCGAAGAGGAAAAGCCAAGUGUGCGAGAGUAAAUUACAAAGGAGCUUAGACCAAAUGCAAGUGCACUUGGCUUCCCCUGGACAAGAUCGCAGGCUGACACACAAUCUUGUCUUUUCUUACCAAGGUGUGGGCUCCCCCACCCCUCACUCCUUGGUCCAAUAGCAACACCACCACCACCCUAAGCGUAGGAGCGCUGAGCUGUGAAGUCAUUCGCAUGACUGGCCACUGUGAGGCAGCACUGAGACAGCAUCCUUACAAAUUCAUUUGUAAGCAACCCAAUCCAGCAUGCACACAAUUCUACUUUCGUUAAUCCUGAAAUCUCUGUAUUUGACCUUCCUCAUCAUUAAAACAUACAAACUAAA